ACAGAUAUUUUAAUACCAUAUAUCCGCCAGAGAACUACAAGCGAAAAGCUAGAAACUCCAAGGACUUGGCGGUGCUUCAAACCAACCUAGAGGAGCCUGUCCUAUAAUCGAUACUCCACGUUCUACCUUACCCCCCUUAGCCUUCAGCCUAUAUACCGCCGUCGUCAGCUUACCUUAUGAAAGAAAUAAAGUAGGCAAAAUAGUUAAUAACUAAAACGUCAGGUCAAGGUGUAGCACAUGGGCGGGCAGAGAUGGGCUACAUUUUCAAAACGAACACACGGAUAAUAUAUUGAAACAUAUAUUUGAAGGCGGAUUUAGUAGUAAAAUAACAAAGAAAAUUGUAUUGAAAGCUGCUCUGAAGCGCGC
rnacentral:rRNA from 1 species